UUGUAGCAUGCACAUGUACGCUUCCCGUGAAAACUGAUUUAGUUUUUUUGUGUGCUUAUAUAUUUUUAAUAUGUUUUGAUCUAUUCUUGGCGCAUUAUUGUAUAAGUGCAAUCAAUGAUUUUACCAAAACAGAAUGGUUUUAUAUAAUUUCCAUUGGACAACCAAAAAUACCCUAAAGUUUUGAGGUAUUUUUUUAUUUCUUUUUAUUGAUUUUUCCUGGAUUGUGCACUGCCUUUUUUAAACAAUUUGAUUGCAUUCUCUUAAAUGAAUCCUCACUUUUUUGUUUUCUUUUCCAGGAAGGAUAAAUAAUAAGCUGACAAUGAAAUGAACGGUUAGUGAAGUGGAAAAAGUGAGUGAACAAAAUACUGAAGCUUCAACUUCAAAAUCAUCCCAUCCACUGCUGAAGAAGAGACGGGGCCCGACACGAUGGAAGAAUGUCGUAAACGCGACAACCUUAUUACCAUUAAGGGUUAAUAAGUUUGGACAGCCGAUCAGCCCUGGAAGUGGUACAUAUACUAAUUAUUUGGGAACACUUGCCCGGAAUGCUAAAUUGGCUCCUUUGUGCUACAAAACUUGGUGGGAGAUGCCUAAACGGUUGAAGGAGGAUAUGUGGAACGUUGUAAAGGGAAAGUAUGAUGUGGGAAUCCUGUCAAAACAUUGGACAAUAUCCUCCAUCGGAAAAAAAUGGAGGGGCUACAAGUGUGAAUUAAAAAGUGAAUAUUACUCGGUUAGGGAUACAAAUGCAGAAAGAUUGGCAAACCCACCACCUGAUGUUGAAAAGGAGCAUUGGGAAUUUUUGGUUAGGCAUUGGGGUACACCUAUUGCGAAGGUAAUCCUCCAUCUACCAAUUUUGUUUAAAGUCAAUGAGUUGAAUUUAUA